AUUGAACGCUGGCGGAAUGCUUUACACAUGCAAGUCGAACGGCAGCACGGACUUCGGUCUGGUGGCGAGUGGCGAACGGGUGAGUAACAUAUCGGAACGUAUCCAAUAAUGGGGGAUAACGAGUCGAAAGAUUCGCUAAUACCGCAUACGCCCUACGGGGGAAAGCUAGGGACCUUCGGGCCUGGCGUUGAUGGAGCGGCCGAUAUCUGAUUAGCUAGUUGGCGAGGUAAAGGCUCACCAAGGCGACGAUCAGUAGCUGGUCUGAGAGGACGACCAGGCACACUGGAACUGAGACACGGUCCAGACUCCUACGGGAGGCAGCAGUGGGGAAUUUUGGACAAUGGGCGCAAGCCUGAUCCAGCCAUUCCGCGUGAGUGAAGAAGGCCUUCGGGUUGUAAAGCUCUUUCGCAAGGGAAGAAAACUUAUCCUCUAACACAGGAUGAGGUUGACGGUACCUUGAUAAGAAGCACCGGCUAACUACGUGCCAGCCGCCGCCGUAA
rnacentral:rRNA from 1 species